CAAUGAUGUAAUUUUUUUUAAAAAACAAAUAGUUUAACUGAUGAAUUGUAAGUAUAAUUUACCUUAACCAAGGAAAAGUCUAUACCAAUUAACUACAGCAUGAAUUUAUUAAUAAAGAUCACAUGAAAUGAAAACAUGUUCUUUUUCAUAAUGUGACUAAUUCUCUACAGCCGUUAUUCAGGAUAGUUAUUUAAGCAAUUUAUUUUCCAAACUUCUCAUUAAAUAUAUCAAUGCCUCCUAAAAUGUUUCCGCAUACAUGUACAUGGAAGUGUUAAAAACAAAUCAACAUACUUAGAUAAUAUAGGUUACUAUACAUAGUUCAUUGAAAUUGCUAACAUCCGGAACAUUUGUUUAAUAUCGUACUUUUUAUAGCUGUAACAAAAUUUCUAAAAGUACGUAACGUAUUGUCAAUUUGACCAACGUAUAGACUACUAUAGCUACAAUGAAUACAAUGGAACUUUGAUUUUCUACCAUUGUACAUGUAAAAACGUAUUAAAUUUCGAUCUAAUUUCAUUUUAUAUCUAUGAAACUUAAUACUACGGCGAAAUCUUUGAAAAAAGUGACGGGCAUCAAAAGUGAAAGUCAAAACAAACAGUCCUCACUACUGCCGCCUUUAGCGCCAUUCAAUGGUCAAAAUGUUUGAUACGUCACCUGCAGAUGAUAAUGUCUCUUUAUGAGUGUGAAGUCUCAAAUGGAACGUAAAACAACAUGCUGUGAAACAUUCAUGUCCUUUAGUAAUAAGGUAGGAUUAUUCAACAUUUUUCACCCACGGGGAACACUUUCCGUUCAGACAUCUCUUCAUUUCUGGUAACCACCCGACCAACCAGUGCGUCACAACACACAACAAAAGCGAAAGUAGGAAUGCCAGAUACUGGAAUAAAGCAAACAAAUGAUACAUGAAAGCACUUUGUAAAGACUCGGUCGUAUCCAUUGGAACCUAUGAAUAACUGACUUGAGACAGGCUGUCGGUGAGUAUAUUUCAACUUUUGAAAUCGGGUAGUAUGAUUAUUAUAUAUCUUAUUAUCGAUUAUUUUGUUUGCAUACAAAACUAGGUAUAUCUAUGUAUGUCAUAAAUUCUGUGUGAUCGUUUUCAAACUUUCAAAUAAUUUAAGAUAUGUAACAGGAAGAGAGAAAAUGCAACGGUCCAGACCAGAUCACUGGUCUGCAGAAAAUACACUGAAUCUCCGGUUAGAUGUUCUACCAAUUGAACUCUCUGUGCACUGGCGAUCGAACCCGUCUAGCUGCCAGAUUCCUUAGUUUAAUGUCUUUACAUCGAUUUCCUGGAAGAUGUUUUCACCUGUCUGUUCCAGGGGCUGGUCAUAGCACUAAAUGUAACAGGAAGGGAGAGAAUGCAACGGACGAGACAAGGAUUUGCACCAGGCCCCCUGAAUCUCUAGUUAGAUUAACUACCAACUGGGCUACCUGUCCACUGGUAUUCGAACCCCUCUGUCCGUAACAGAUACUUUUAGUAAACUUGAAGUGGCUAAGAGUUUCUCAAAUCAACAACAUCAAAAUAUUUGCCUUUUCAACACUUUAAAAGACCAUUCCUCGCGAUGAAUUAAAGACUAGCCUUUUUGACAUCAUGCACAGUUGUUUCUCCAACAAAAAUGGAAAACGGAAAUAUUCAUACAUAAUGAUCAGUCAUCAAAAAAUUACGUUGUUAAAUAUAACUCUGAUUCCACGCACAAGUACUCUGAAGUUGAAAUAAAAUUAUGCUAGAGUACCUCAUUCACAAUAUUUUCGUGGUCUUUGGUGAUCAGGUCUUCCAACAGUCUGUUGGAAUCUCCAUGGGUACGAAUUGUGCUCCUUUGUUAGGUGAUCUGUUUUUAAAUUCAUAUGAAUAUGAGAUUGAUCACUGUUCGUUAUCUUCACCUUUCAUGAAGCAGAAUUCAUUCAAAAACGUCUACGUGAAUAGAAAUAAAAUAUCCUUACGACAUUUAGAUAUUUUUACACAUAUUUCAGCUUGUCUGUAAAUAUGUGUCAUUAUUUAAGCGCCCCCUUUUACUUCUAUGAGUAAUAUUGCAUUGAAGUAGAUGAGUGUUAUUGUGUCAUUUAAUUUAGGCAUCAAUGCCAGGUAUGUAUAUAAUCCGGAAUUGUUUUCUGGAUUUUAACAGGCAUCAUUCUAAAUUCACUGCAGCAUCACUUCCCUUUUCCAUUUUGCAGCAUUCGAGAAGGUCGGUAAAUAUUUUAGAGCGGAGAAAUUUGAAACACCCACCCAACUCACCCUCUUUCUGCUGUUUAGAUCUUUCGUUUCAGAUAUCGCUUGCUGUCAGCAUACCUGGACCUUCCAUACUUGCACAACUCAUCACAAUGACAUUCAAAUGGAGUCUUAGUGGUUCGGGGCGAAAUCGUCACCUUCAAAUCGGAUGUUAUAUUGUGAUGUUGACAAUUGAUGUGUGGAUGUUGAUUUAUGAAUUUUUAUUUGUAUAUUGACAAAUACAAUAAGGUUACAAGUUGAAUACAUAUUUUAAGGCAAUGUAUAUUGGGUGUGUCAGUAGUUUGAUUGUGAUUACACAGCAGGCUACUUGCCCAUUCGGACGACACAAAAAUAUUGUCGGGGUGAACCCUGUUGUUCGGUGACCCCACCGUUGUUGGUUGUAAAUGUUGUUUCUGACCACCGUAGCCAUUAUCUGCCGAAAAUCAAUUGUUAUCUAAACACUUGUAUUGCGUUUCAUCUCAAUAAUCCAUCAGGAAGUAUAUCGUAUAAUUCCCAAUAUACGUUUAUGUUUGGGAAAGCUGAACUAAUCAUUUAAUGCAGUCUUAGAUAACGACGACGUUUUAUCUAACAAUAAUCACUUUCAUUCAUAUGUCGAUUCAAUAUAUCCCUCUGAACUCGAAAUAAAGGACACCACAGAGUCGUCCACUUCUGCUUGAUACUUACAUAUUUUAUUGAAAGUAGAUAUUAACGGCAAACUAACAACUCAACUUGAUUUCAGCUUAUCCGUAGUCAACUUCCUAUAUUUAUGUAGCAAUAUUCCAUUAUCACCUGCAUAUGGUGUUUAUAUUGCUCAACUGAUUCGAUCCGUAAGAUCUUGUUCUGCGAAUGGUCAGUUUUUAAAUCGAGGCAAGCUUCUGACAAACAAGUUGAUGGUGCAGGGGUUCCAACAGUCUCGUCUGCCACCGUAGCCUGUCAUUGGGCCAAAUGCUGUCUGGCGUGUUUUAUGCACACUGAUUUUGACUACGGAUAACUCCGUUUGCCUGAUCAAGAUAUAAGGUUCACGGUGGGUGUGACCGGUCGACAGGGGAUGCUUACUCCUCCUAGGCACUUGAUCCCACCUCUGGUGUGUCGAGGGGUCCGUAUUUGCUUAACUCUCUAUUUUGUAUUGCUUAUAGGAGUUAUUAUAUUGAUCACCGUACGUUAUAUACACCUUUCAUGAUGGUUUGUUUUAAUCUGGAAUGUUGAUUAAAAAACUUUAUCUCCC